CUGUGUGGAUGGUGUUCAGCACCAGGGACAGGUGUGUUUACCUAUGUGUGGGUGGUGUUCAGCACCAGGGACAGGUGUGUUUACCU
rnacentral:pre_miRNA from 1 species